rnacentral:tRNA from 1 species
AUUUAAAUAGUAUAAAAAUUACAAUUGGCUUCCAACCUUUUAAUCUAGAAAUAGUUUAAAUA